ensembl:lncRNA
GGCAGAUUCAGAUGACAGCACAGUCUGAAAAAUGACAGAUAUAUAUUGAGUGCAGACACACUUCUGUAUCUGGAGCGAAACAUUUCUCCUACUCUGGGAAGUGAGUCAGCUAUAUGGCAGAUGUGCCUCCGGUUAAAGAAUUGUUGAAGGUGCCACAUGUAGCAACACACUUGCAAAGCACCCAGUGGAUUCCUUAGCAACACACCAUCAGGAGAAUGAAUGUGUCACUAUGCAAUUCACAGGCGAAGCAAAGAUUGAUGCUCUUUGAACUGUAGAACUGGAAUUAACAUUAAUGUGAAAAUGGAAAACUAUUCUAUUACUUUACUAAGUUUACACUUACACAGUAUUUUAAUAAACCAUAACAGUUAGUUAAUGCUAAAUUAUUCAUCAACUUUAAUUACGUAUCCUAUAAUGUUUUGAGUAAAAAUAAAUUGAACAUACCGAUUUUAGCAUACACGGUAUAAUUUUGUAUUAUCAACAUAAAAAAUGAAAUGACAAAUCAGGGUAGCAAAUGAUUUUGUUAACAGGAAAGAUAUAAAUAAAAAGUAGAAGAACCCAGAAUUCAACGUCGAGGCACCCCAGUGUUAGAAACUGCAUAAAGCUAAAAGAAACCAAAAGAUCAGAUCAUUCCAGAACUAUUUCCAGAACCUCAAGGACUUUCUGAACAACCUGGAAAGACAGGACUUAAAAAAGUAAAAGCAUUGAACUGGAAAAGAUACUCAUAAAUGGAACGGUAUUGAGUGGCUCAUAUAAAGUGGAGGGUGAGAAGUGGCCGAGCUCCAGCUGAAGGUUUCUGAGGGCAGAACUGAUUGAAUCCGUGGACAAUUGGAAUUGCUUCUUCAAAACGUAAUAAGAAACCUCUUGAAAGAGGAUAGAAAAGCAUUCCUGCCCUGGCUCUGGCACCUGCUCACUCCGUUAGCAGCUACUGAUCACGCAAUGAGAAUUUUCAUUCGUUUUCACGUUGGCGCUUCUGGAAAAUGCAUCAAGUGGCCUUCUUUUAUUUAGAGAGUGAAUAAACUUGUGAAACAGAAAAGUA